AGAGAGAGACAUGCGCGCAUAUCAAUAAGCGGAGGAAAAGAAACUAACUAGGAUUCCCUUAGUAACGGCGAGUGAAGCGGGAAGAGCUCAAAUUUGAAAUCUUCAAGGUUUUACCUUGACGAAUUGUAGUUUAAAGAAGUGUUUUCUGCUGGAGUUUUGGUAAAAGUUCUUUGGGAAUAGGACAUCAUAGAGGGUGAGAAUCCCGUAUUUGACCAUUAUUUUCAGCUUUGUGAUACACUUUCAAAGAGUCGGAUUGUUUGGGAAUGCAGUCCAAAAUGGGUGGUAAAUUUCAUCUAAAGCUAAAUAUUGGCGAGAGACCGAUAGCGAACAAGUACCGUGAGGGAAAGAUGAAAAGAACUUUGAAAAGAGAGUUAAACAGUACGUGAAAUUGUCAAAAGGGAAGCGUUUGACACCAGUGUUGUUUUCUCGAAAAUCAAUUAAAAAUGGCUCGAUUUUGUAUUGCUGAGACCUUAAAAGCUCACUGUACAUUUUUCGUGUCUUUUUUAAUGCACUUUUCGUUUAACAAGUCAACAUCAGUUUCUUUUGUUGUAAAAGGGUCAUUGGAAGGUGGCUUUCUUUUCGGAGAAAGUGUUUAUAGCCUUUGGCCUCUGCAAUCGAAGAGACUGAGGUCUGCAGCGUAGACUCUUCGGGGUUAGAUACAUUUGUGCUAAGUUAUAGCUUUUUAUAGACAACUUGUUGACUAUAAUUAGUCUUGUAGCUUACUCGCUUAUGCUAUUUUACCUACGCUUAGGAUGUUGAAGAUGUAGCACAUCAUC
rnacentral:rRNA from 1 species